GACUUUUAGUUGUGAAUGUUAAAGUGUAUCAUCAUUAGGUUAUGCUGGUGUAAAUACAAACAUAAUCAGGUUCAUUAGGUUUGAUAUUUGGUUCUAAUUUGCCCCUGUGUAAAUCAAGUAUCACCCUCUUAGAGAAGUGAAGUUACAAUGACUUGAAAUUGUGUCACAAUCUAGUUUAAUUUUCAGGUUUACUGAGUGAUGAAGAAGAGCUGUAACUUCCCAUUUCCCUGAAUCAGAUGUUGCAGCCCAGGUCGCAUAGUAGUAAGGCUGCCACUUCUUUGUCCUGUCAGACUGGGGCUCUCUUAUCCCCUGAACAGGGCAGUAAUGUGGGAUUUGGUAUUCUUUGCAAACAUUAGCAGGCUCUCAGCAUUUGUCUGCUAAUGUGUGUUCCUUCCAUACAUGCUAGCAGAGACAAGCGUGAAGUCAAUGCUCAGGGUGCAUUGACUUCUGGAAAAGGAAGUCACUUCUGUCAGAUGGAAAAGGGGUAAACUGGCUAGAAAAGAGCCAUUUUUCCUGACUUCUACAGCACUAUUAUGUGCAAUGAAGACACUAACUGCCCCCAUGUCAGAGAAUUGCUGAGAACCAGACCCAGGGAGGAUUGCCAAAUCCUCCCCUGAAUGCCAGAGGAAGCACUUUUGCAGGGGUCACAGGAACAUUGAAGACAUGAGCAAUGACAUUAGCGUGUCUGGGACCUUCAGUGCAAGCUCUCCAAGAAUUAGAGCAGACACCAUGAUGCUUUCACUGCUGUGUCAGCUGAGGCUACGAGUGCCUUUACUGCACAUUUCCUUAGAAGUUUGUCACAGCCUGACACGCCGCUCCCAUGAUGCCUCACAGAGCUCAAUCAAUGUCCUUCCCUGGCUGCAAAAGGAAAAACAUGCUGAGCCAGCCUUGCAGGCUGCAUCAGCAGUGGGAUAUCUUAUCCUCCUACUGAAAGAGCCCUUGGAGCAGAAGGUCUGUCUGACUUUCCAUUUCUUUCCAAUGCCCCCCCCCCGCCCCCCCCCCAUCCCUCACUGCAUAUUGUUUCUCUUUGCUGCAGGUCUGUGGGUAUUGUGUUGGUGUUGUAAACAUUUUUUGUUUGAAAGGGAAAAUAUCUUCAUUCCAUAGGUAUUGAUGAAGAGGAGUAUUAACUUAAAACCUGCUAUAGAUGAAGGUGUAACAGCAUAAAUAACAACUUGGUAGUCUGAAUGGUGAAUAGGAGAAACGAUUUGAACUAUUACUGUGAUACCACAUGAGGAGUGUUUUAUGGGAGACAAGGUAUUUUCUGUGUCAUUUCUUCAUUUGCUUUGCUCAACAGUACCCAUCCAAUCUUAAAAAAUCACCUUCUACUAUGAUGAUAGCAAGAAAAGGGAAGAAUAUUUGAAACUCACUUUGAAACAGUACUCAAUGUGAAUUCAAAGCCUGGUUAUUAUUGUGCAGCUAGGAAAGCUGCUUUUCUGUUUAGCUUUCCUGUGAUCCCUUUAGCUUUAUCUGAUACUGAAGCCUUGAAAUCUCUAGACUAGAAAUUAAAUUCUACCUCUGUAGCCCAGGCCUAAUGACCCACUGGCAUCACAGCAAAUAACUUUUCCUUUACCAUGAGUUCUUCCAGCUCAAACUUCUGCUUUUCAGUCAAAACUGUAGUCUUUUGGAAGAAACAAUAAUGAAAACCCUGUGACACAAGCAUAAGCAUAAUUGGUGACUUGGAAAUUAACAGGGAUUAUUCAAACUGAUGGCAGGCCCUGAUUUUGCAGGGUUUUAAGGGCUUGGUUUAUUCUGCUUGCACAUGUUAGCAUGUAGAACAGUCAGAAGGGCUCUGUCUUGGACUGAUACGGAAUUUAGGGUGGCCAUGGCAAGGCAAUGAGCUGAGCAGUCAGGGUGCCUGGGUGAGAUGCUGCACCUACAGCAUCAGACAGCAAUUGCUGCUGCUACGUUGGGUAUAAACUGCAGUGUUUUGGGAGAGGACAUGUGCAGGGCUUGGGUGUCUGGUACAGGAACAGCAGCUUGAGGGGGGGAAAGAAAGGGGUUUUCCAUUGGGAUUUCCCAUGGGCUUUCCAUUUUAUUUUACAUGUGUGAAAGCUUGAGAGCAGCUAGUCCCAGGCCUGUGGUAGGAGGUGAAGACUGAAGAACAUGAAAUGAAACUGAGAGAAGUUGUGAUUUAAGUCUGAUCACUCUGAAAGUGUUGGGCAUUGACAUGUCUGGGUGUUUUAAUGGUGCUGCUCAAAAUUGGUCAUUUUUUGAAUGUGACAGAAUUGAACAGAACAGUUUUAAACCCUGUUUUGGGCUCUUCAGUGCUUUGUUAUAAUGGUAAAAUCCAGAAUUGGAAGGUGAAAGGAGUUUAGAAAUAGUUUUUCAGUGAGCACUCAAACAGCUUCUAACAAUUCCCUUUAUUAGCUGGAUUUUCAGCAGUACAAAAUGUGACCAUGAUCAUCCCAGCUUAAUAAAAAAUGUAGAUACAUUGUGAUAGCAUGUGGAUUAUGUGGAGACUUGCAUCAGCCUGACGGAUUUUCAUAUUGAUCACACACAACAUCAUGGUUUUGACUGUUGUUUCUUAUUAUGAGCUUUUAGUCUUCUCACAAGAGUUUCCAGCAUCAUUUCUGCUGACAGAUGCUGCUUAGGACAGAUGUAUUUUUAUUCCCUUACAGUUGCCUUGGAUCAAACACCUUUUUCCACGUAGCUCAAGUUCUGCAGUGGAGUACUCCUGGUUUACUACUCCGAGAAAACUGUAGUCAUUUUUGUGACCUUCUUUAGAAUCAGCAGAAAUCUUUUUUUGGCAUGUGUGAUCUAGUAAUUUCCACUUCCUACCAGUUGUAGGAACUCAUGCUUGUAAAUAGUAUAGAAAAAUCACGCAAAUAAAGAGAAACAGAAAAAAUUGAGCAUUUGGUCAUACUUUUUUCUUUUCUAGCUGGAACCAGUGAGGUGAAGGAACUUGCAGGAUGUUUGUUUCUGGCAGAGAUGGGGAUCUGUAAUGUUUUUUAUAUAAAAUACUAAAUUGACAAUAAUCAGCUUCCAUGGCUUGCAGCUAAGCACAUAGCUCGCCCUUCUCUCAGGCCUCCUCUGAAUCCACAGAGCUGAAGGCUUUUUUCCUUGUGAUCUGAGAAAGCAAAAUUCCUGACAAAACU